rnacentral:rRNA from 1 species
UACGAAGGGUGCAAACGUUGCUCGGAAUUAUUGGGCGUAAAGCGCACGUAGGCGGCUUUGCAAGUCGGGUGUGAAAUCCCCAGGCUUAACCUGGGAACUGCAUUCGAGACUGCAUUGCUAGAGUAUGGGAGAGGGAAGCGGAAUUCCUGGUGUAGAGGUGAAAUUCGUAGAUAUCAGGAGGAACACCGGCGGCGAAGGCGGCUUCCUGGCCCAAUACUGACGUUCAGGUACGAAAGCGUGGGUAGCAAACAGG